rnacentral:rRNA from 1 species
UACGUAGGUGGCGAGCGUUGUCCGGAUUUAUUGGGCGUAAAGCGCGUGCAGGCGGUUCGUUAAGUCCGGUGUGAAAGCUCCCGGCUCAACUGGGAGAGGUCAUUGGAUACUGGCGGACUCGAGGGAGGCAGAGGAAGGUGGAAUUCCCGGUGUAGUGGUGAAAUGCGUAGAGAUCGGGAGGAACACCAGUGGCGAAGGCGGCCUUCUGGGCCUUUCCUGACGCUGAGACGCGAAAGCGUGGGGAGCGAACCGG